AGAAUAUCACAGGAUUAUAGGACAGUUUAGAGGGAGGAAAGGGAAGGAAGAUAUAUUGGAAUUAAAUUACAGUCUCAAAGAAGCAAACCUGAUUUCCUUUUUAAAUCUUCAGAUAUACCAAUAAUAGAAACAUUGCCAGUACAUGAGGGAGAGAUUUCUCUAUAUUUUAUUCCCAGUGUACCUCCUGUCAUCUUAAAAGAGUAUCACCUUUCUGUAGAUACCAUCAUUCUGCACACUUCCUCCCAGAUUGAGAAGUCUGAGUCGUGUAAUGGGAAGAGGCAAAAGCAUUGGGUAUGUGGUAUCAGUGUAGGAGACAAGAAUAGCAAUGGGUACUUAUUUAGUGCCCUUCUUCUUAAUCUGUGACCAAUGCCCCCUGGUAGUAGCAAAUCCUGAAGGUAGACUUCAAGAUCACAAACAAAACUACAAGAAAGCAUCUUUAUGUUCUAUUAGCACCAUUAAAGAAAUGCAUAGCUGACUUCAAAGUAAGGUAAUAUCAUCCCUAUUUAAGAACAUCCUUUAGUCUAUCUUACUGUUGAUAACUUCAAAAAUGUGAAAGUUUCAUACUUGUAAAUAAAAUAAGUCAGCACUGUUGGAAUACAGAAAUGGAAAGAAAACAAGGCCUGUUUUUAUCAGAUUUUGGGAAGGUACUUUGGAAACUUCUUAGCUUGACAAAAACUGUAGACUUAUUUUUAGUAAGUGAAUUUAUGAGAUUUAAUAAUUUGUAUGCCAAGACAAUGUAGAAUCCUGGACUAUUCAGUUAUUAGGAUGUUUCCUGCAAGGAGCCAUGAAAUGCACUGUUGUUGUGAAGGUAACAGUACUUUGAAGUGGGUAUAUUUUCAUUCUGCUAAGCCCUUGGUUGGCAGCUCAUGUUUUAUUUUAAAUAUAACCACUUCUAUUCAAAAUUUAUAUUCAUAAUUUUAUCAGAGAGGGCUGUUUUUCAAAUUGUAUAAGUUUAGGUCAUAAACUAUCUUAUCUAUUAUGAUAAUAUGUUAAUAGAAAAAAAUUAUAAAAAUUGCAUGUUAAUAAGUUGAAAACUCUUUUUAGUAAGAAUCUGAAAAAUGUAAGAAAUGGAACAGCAGUUCUUUUACAUUUCAUUGGGUGGUGUUAAUGAUUUUUACCAAACACUGACAUUUAUUAAUAGUGAGACUCUUCAGGCAUUUUGCCAGUAAGGUGACAGAAGUUUGCUCCUCCCUCAUUGAAGCCACCAGUGAGGUCACUAAACACAACUUGAAUUCUUAUCUCAGAUGUCUGCCAGGCAUCUUCAAGGUACCUGCAUGUUCAGGUGAAGUGGAUAAUAUUGUCCACUGAACACUCUUUACUUUGGACUUUACAAAGUGAACACUAGAGAGAAAAACAAUAACAUUUAUAAGACAUUCAAUAUCUUAGUUGUUCCCUAGGUUGUGUUUUGAGGUAGAUUCGUACAGUCCUGGGUAGACUCCAUGUAUGCACUGAAACAGGUAUGAGAUGUGAAAACUCAGGAGGCAUUCAUUGUUCUUUAGGAUGAUGAAUUAAUAUUGUUAAAGUUAUCAUCAGUAACACUACUACACAAUUAUGUAUUACUGGCAUGGUUUACAUGAUAUUGAACUUGACUGAAGAUUUUAAAAUUUAUCCCAAUAAUGAAUUUUUAAAAUAGCUAGGAAAAGCAUAAUAACUACAUGGGCAGUGCCAUUGAGCCCUUAGAUAUUUAACUAUAUUGUAAAGUUGAAUUGCUAUAGGCUUCUGUCAAUCACUAUAUUGAAAGAAGGUGGGGUAGUUAAUAGCCCUACCUCAUUCUUGAUUUUAAUGUGAUUGGUAAAUGUUUUCUAAUUAGGAUAAUGUUGGCUAUGUGUUUGUCAUAUGUAGCAUUAAUCCUAUUGAAGUUUAUUCCGUCCAGUUCUAUAUUCUAUAGGGAUUUUUUUCAUGAAGACCAUAUUUAAUUUUAUUAUGAAUUUGUCAUGACAAAAUUGUUAAAAUUUUCAAAGAUUUUUCUACAUUUAUUUUACUGAUGUGAAUUUUGUAUUUCAGUCCAUCCAUAUGAUUUUCUAUAUUUUUAUUUAUUCAUUUUCUGUAUAUUACUUUAUUGACAUGAAUGAGUAUUUUGCCUGAAUGUGUUUCUGUUGACCUGGUGCCUAUGGAAGCUAGAAGAAGGAUUUGGCUCCCACCAACAGAAAGCAUAUAUUCUAUAAACCAAGUUUGCUAGAAGAGCAACCAUUGCCCUUGGUCAAUGGGAUAUCUCUCCAACCCCACAACUAAUGACUUUCUUACAUUUGAAUUUUGUAAAUGGUUUUCUGUAUUUAUUGUAUUGAUGGGAAUUUUGUACUUCAGUCCAUUUAUAUGCAUCCCUGAGAUAAAGCCAAUUUGAUCGUGGUAAAUGAUCUUUCUAUACAUGUUUAUAUUUGACUUUCAAGUAUUUUACUACAUCCAUGUUCAUCCAGGAUAUUGCCCUACAGUUAAUUAUAAUUAAACAUUAACUUUGUCAUAUAUCUCUAUUUACAAAGUAUACAGAGAAAUUCCUAGAAGUUUUGUAUUAGCAUGUUCCUAAUUACAUGGUAAAGAAGAUCUAAUUAUAGCCCAGAAGGGACAUCACGUAUAAUCUUAUAAAUGGGUAGAUCUUCUACGUCAGAGGUCUCUCAUAGUUACCCUGUAGGUUUGUCUCAUGACAUAAUAAAUAAAUCAUUAGUAAAGAGAGAUGUCUUAAUUCUCAACAAAUAUGUAGACAUGUAUGCAUAAAAUGCAGUUCCAUAAAAAUCAACCUUAUUAAGCAUUAAUGCAAGAUUUGCUGCAUGGAAGACUAUCCAUAAAAUUAUUUACCGUGGCUACUCAUGGGAGGUGAGAAUACUUCAGGACUAUGGAAACUUCAUUUUCGGUAAUAGUUAAUAUUUCUAUCAAAGGUUCAUAAACCAUAUAUAUGUGCAAAUAAUUAGAGCUAUUAUAUUAAGAGAAAAUGCUUUUUCAGACAAAUAUAUUAUAUGCUAGUGGCUAUCACUAAUACAUUUAAAUUCAAACACAUUUCGUGAAAAUUAAUGAAUCAUACCUCUGAAUGAACUGAUUAAAUCUUUGGUUUUUUUACAAACACAGUAUUGGAGAAUCACGACGUAGUGGAAGAGCAUGAGGUCAUGGUUUUAUAUGUUAAGAGCGAGUCCUUGACAGUUUAAAUGAAGUGCCAAAGUUCUAGUUAAGGCUAGAUCAGGAUAGAAAGCUUCCAAACUGGUCUUUUAUUGCAUUACAAUUUUCUUCUAAAGUUCUCACCACUGUCUCUUUGUCUUUGGACAGGGAAAAGUAAUUACCAUUGGCUCAGUCAGUAUUUACCAUUGACUCAAGCGGUAGUUACCACUGGCUUAAACAGUAUUUUAGGACAAUAGGAUAGCAACCUAAAUUAAAGAGACUUAUUCAUUCUAAAAAUAGCAUUUUGCAUACCACAGAUUUUACAGAAUAAGAAGGACUCUAGGAAAUAAGAGAGUGAUGGGGAUGGCACUCUAGUAGACUGCACAAGUUGCCAUGAGCAAACACAAAAAAGGUAAGUUGAAUUUUGGGACAUGAAUUGAGCAAACUCUCAGAUUUUCUAGUUGCCUAGGAACAUUCAGACACUGCAGCUCAUGCUUUGCCUAUUUUGUAAUCUUUAGAUUGGUUGUCACUUGCAGAGGAUUAGUUUCUCAGAAUGUUGACUCAGAACUGAUUUCAUCAAAUCAUGUGUUCUUUGAUAUCUUGAUGUUUAGUUGAGCCACACAAGUGCCUGAUGAACACGAGUCAAAACCAAGUGAAACCUACCAGGCAUCAUGCAGUGCCGAAGAGUAAUCCAGAUAAAAUAAUGACAACCAGCUUAAACCUAAAGCUACUCUUUCUUCUUCGGAAUAUAUCCUUAUUCAUUAUACGCUUGCUAACUUACAUUUAAUACAACAUAGGUUGAGAUUCACAUAUUGGAAAUACAUGAAGAUGUUUAACAACCUGAGGUAUCAGCAAAUGUAAACUAAAGUUUCAUUCUAUCUCAUCCUACUAAUAAUGGUUAUCAUCAAGAAAAUUAGCAAUGUAACACACAGGGGUGGUGGGAAAAAAGAUAUUUUUACAUUGCUGAUGGGCAUGUAUAGUGGUGAGUUCACUAAAGUAAUCUGUUCAGAGGAUCCCCAAAUAAUGAAAGCAGAACUACCUUAUAUCUCUGAUAUGCUCCUUGGUCUAUGUCUAGAAAAGUCUUUAUCAGUAUGUCACUAAGACACUUAAUCAUCUAUAUUUGUGGCACAAGUACUCAUAAUAGCCAGGAAAUUCAAGGAAAUGGAACUUAAAUUCCCAUCAUCAAAUGACUGUGUAAAUGUUAUUUGGGAUACAUAUACACAGCAGGGUUUUAUAUUCCACAAUAAGGAACAUGAAAUAAAGAAAGAAUGCCAUUCAUAGAAAAAUUGAUGGAAACAAGAAAGUCAACCUAAGAAGCAAAAUAAGGAAAAUUCAAAAGACAAAUAUCACAUGGUUGUUCUCAUAAAUUCAUGUUUAUAAACAUAUAUUUAUUAUAGACUUUUCAUGAAAGUAGAUGGCUGAUAGGGUUGAAUGGGAAGGGUGAAAGGAACAAGAGAGAGAAAUAUGAAAAAGUCAAAAAUCUUCUGCUUUUGUCAAUGAAGCCUGGAUUUAAUUCAAUAUCUUUGCAUGUAUAUGAUAUCUGUCUUUCUGCUUGCAGGUCUAUCUGUCAAUCACUUAAUCUAUCAUCUGCCCUCUAUUACUUGACAUGAAAGCAGAUAGAAGACUAUUUAGGACAAAACAGAGACCAGAGAAGAUGGGAAGAUUGGAGGUCAGCGUGAGAAAGAUACCACAGCUCAACAUGUACAUGCAGCGCCUGCAAAGACUAGAGAGAGCAUUGGGAGCGGCCCAUGCAGGAGCUGAAACUGAACUUGUAUCAGCUGGAAGCUCUGCACAUGCUCACCACCAUUGAACAAUUUCUCCAGAUCCAAAACAUGGAAGAUUCUGCCAAGAGCAAGCCUUAAUAUUUUUCUUUUGAAAGACUUCCAUUCAUUGAUUUGCUCUUGUAUUCACUUACUUUCCUUCAAAUUAUCAAUGGAUUUUAUUCAAUUAAAAGGGAGAUUGGGAUCCAUUGUCUGAAUGUUGGGAAUUUAUGACAUACGGAUACUGAUGGGCUUCUGAAAAUGCUUCUCUCUGAACAAUAAAGAAGACGGAAAUUGAUUUCAAAAGGUCAGGAAGUUUUCAAGUAAAUCGUAAUACCCCUUCAAUAUGAAACAAACAACAAUUUAUGUAUAUGUUGUCUAAACAAGUUGUCAAAUAAAAUUUUAUGGAAUUGCAGUUUUUUUUCUAACCAUAUUAUUUAACCUAUGUACAUAUAUUAACAUUUUAUAUGUUUUUCUUUAAAAAGCAUAUUUAUAUGCUUCCUGAUUAUAAUUCACCACUUAACCCUACAGCCCAGUUUUAAACCCUGACCAUAGAAGCCUUUCUUGGGGCUCAGGAGAGGGCUCUGUGGUUAAAGAUGUAUGCUGCCAUCCCUGAUGAGAAGCUCGAUCCCCAGAUCUCACAAAUUGUCCUCUGAACUGCAUGCAUGUGGCAUGCUUUGUAUACACAGAUACAAACAAAAAAACACCAUACAAUCAAAAGUGCAAUUUAAAAUUCCCUUGAUAGUUUGUGAGCUAAGAUCUAUUAAUCAUUGUUAUCUAUUAAUCAAAUUACUGAUGUUUCAAAACUGGUUUGAAGACCUGCAACUGUAGUGUCUCCUUUUGAACACAGUCAAACCUGGUGAUGUCACAAUUAGACCAUUACAGAUGUCAUCACGGUUGAGAUUUACUCUCCUAAACAUGACAGAGUCAUGGCUACUCAGUACAUUCAUGUGUCUCUGGCAGUGAAGAUGGUCAACAUGGAAGUUACAGAUUCAUUCGAAGCUCACAUUCAUUUUUUCCUAGAAGUUAUACUUGCCUGGAAAUUUUGCCUCUGGCUUGCACUGAAUUACUGGGCAGCCAAUUUUGCAAACAUGAUUGUGUCUCUGGAAUUUGAUACGCAAAAUGGUUUAUUAAUAUUGACCUCAUCAAAGUCAUGAGGUUUUGUGAAGAUCAGAAAACACUGAAAACACUCAUAAAAAACAAUGGGAUAUUUAGAUAGUAGUAGCUUUCGGCUUUCCCAUCAUCCUGUGUUUCCUUCUCUCCCUCUGUCUCUUCCUUCCUUCCUUCUUUCCUUAUAGACUAUGUAACUAUACAGCCCAGAAUAGUUUCAAUAUUGCCUGAAUUUCCCAGGUACUUUUGAAUUUCUCAUUUUUUUAGCAUUUAGCAGUUCAUAAAAUGUUGAUUUUUCUCUGUGGAAAAAGGGAAAAUAUAGCAUUCCUUAGUAAUUAAUAAUUUUAA
rnacentral:sRNA from 1 species